rnacentral:misc_RNA from 1 species
UGUUCGAGCGUCAUUACAACCUCUACAGCUCUGCUGGGUCUUGGGGCUUGCCUUCCCGGGCAUCCCUUAAAACUAGAUGCGGCGCGCGUGGCUCUAAGCGUAGUACUUUUCUCGCUUCUGGGUCCGCUGUGGUGUUUGCUACAUAACCCCAACUUUCUAUGGUUGACCUCGAAUCAGGUUGGGAUACCCGCUGAACCUAA